UGGUGUGUGUCAGGGUGACCGUGUGCCAGUGCCCAUCACAUUUGCCAGGCUUCCUUGAAGCUAGGUGUGAGCAUGUGAACAUUUCUGGCCACAAGGCAAGCUGAAGUUUGUGGGCAGAAGAUUUUGGAAAGCUCCUUAAAGGAGAGACAGCCCGUUUGUCUUUCCCUGCUUGCUCCUUCCUGGUGCCCUGGCUUUCAGAGGUGACGGCAAGUGCUCCAGCAGCCAUCUGGAUCCUAAAGUAACCUUGACGAUGGAAGCUAUGUUCGGAGGGUGACAGAGCAGACACAUAAACCUGGGUUCCUGAUUUACAUUGUAUCUCCUUACCAGAGCUUCUUUUAGAGUUCAAGAGGAGCAUUUCUUUGGGGAUUUUACAAAGAUUGCAUCUUUUCAGUUGCUUUCCAACUGGGUCAGUCUGCUGGAGCAGGCAUCAGAGGUAAAUGUUGGGAUAAGGAAAAAAUGGGGCUCUAAAAGGCCAGUCCAGGGAAAAAUAAGAUGUUUAGGAGAGUUCCGUACUUCCCAGUUGCGUCACCUUGGACAAGUCAGAUAACAGCUCUAACUUCAGACUUUUACUUAAGAGCUGCAGCAGGAAGUGAGUGAGAUCAUUAUUACAUGAUACUGUUCAUAGUAAUUACGCAAAUAAUGUUUCUUUUUACUGAUUUACUAAAAUAGACAUUGAGAGGACCUGCCUCUUGGCCAUCAAAAAGUAGGUGGAAAUAUUUUUACUUGUCUGAAUUGGCAUGCUUCGACAAAUAAAAAGCUCACUGUUUCUUUCCUGCA
rnacentral:lncRNA from 1 species